rnacentral:misc_RNA from 1 species
AAAAAAAAAAAAAAAAUUCUUGUCACGUUUGACGUUGAAAUUUUGAAGAUGGAGAUGUGGUACUUUUCCCUUGAUUUGGUAGUGGAUGAAUUCUAAUAGAAUGCUUUUGGUUCUGAGAUAAGUGGUAGUCGUGAAUUCUGUUGUUGAUGCUGAUGAUCUGCUUGAAAUGGUGUGAUACGGAUUAUUACUGCAAUGGGCUACCAGGGCUAGCAUGUUUACCUUGCUGUCGCUGAUAUGUUUAUAAUUAAUAUGAUAGAAAGUAGUCUUCUUUUUCUCCUUUCUAUUUUUUAACGAUAAUUACUUACUGUGGCUAGAGUUGUUGGCAUGGUGGCAUUUUAUAGGAUGUUGAUGUGGGAUAUUUCUGAAUUUCUGCAUGAAAAAUUCAUAAUGGUAAUCAGGGUUAGUGUUAGAUUGGUUAUAAAAUGGUUAAAGGAUUGUCAUGUUCACCUUGCUGGUACGUUUGUGAUCAUUACGAUAAGAAUUCUUCUCCUCCUCUUUAUUCUUUAACAAUGUUUACUUAUUGUGCUGGCCUUGUUAGCAUGAUGGGAGAUAUCUGAUUUUCAGUGUUAAAUUGGUUAUGCAUCUAUAACCAUUAUUGUAACAUUUUACAGUUAUUCAAACAGUGAAACGGUGAUCACGAGAAAUUUAGAGAGAAAACAAUAAUGGGAAGAACAUAGGUAGUUGAGGAGACUGUUUGGAAUUGUCUUGCCCACUUUAAUGUUUAACAUAUCUUUCCUGCUGUGUACUGAUAACAAUGUCGAAACGCCUGUCCCUGUCUCUGUCCUUGUACCAUGUCCAGCUAGCCUUGCAUUUGUUGUAAUUGUAGCAACAUGGUCUAAAUACCUUUUUCUUUCUUCUUUCUUCUUUCUCAGUUUAGCAGUUAUAACCCAGAUAAUUCUUCAAAUUGUGAAAGUAAUAAUUGGCAUGAAUGCUUCUAGGUUGAAUCUUGUAUCAAUUCUGUAAAUAUGUGAAAUGCACCAAUUUGGCACUAUUUCAUGAUUAUUUUAUUGUAUUCAAAUUUAUAUUUAUCAAUAUGCAUGUAUUUGUAUAGAUAGAUAGGUUUACCUGAAUUAAAUUUUUGAAGAAAAGUUUGAGAAUAUCUAUUUUUCUAUCUCGAGACUUGAGGAAAAAAGUUCAACUACACUUGAAAUUCCUUGCUUGAGGAGCAGGGUGACACUUUGUUUAACUGCCCCCCUUGGCUUAAUUUUCACCCUUUUUGUCCCUUGUUUUGAUCUUUACUUAAUUCUAAUGGGCAUGGCUAUGAGGAAUACCACAUUAAUUAAACUUUGUACUCUCUUCUUUGCUGUGGAUGAAAAUGUGUUUUGUCUUGUGUGGACUUACCAGUUCUGGAAGGCAAUGCAAUUUAUGAUGGCACUUGUGGAACUCUUGAUAUUUUUCUUCUUCUUCGAAAAUUUUCUACUAAACAAUGUAGCACUUAAUCCAAUACUAUUGCUAGAAGCAUUAACUCCCUGGUUCUAUUCCCAAAUUCCUUUUCCUUUUUAGGGAGAGGCUAUAUUAAUGUCUUAUUUCUUGCUUUCUGAUUUUUUUUUUUAAAGCAGCCAUGGGAAAUGUCUUAAGAGUAUAGUGAUUGCUUAUCUUAUUUUCCAUGCUUUUGCUUAGGUGACAUCAUUGCUUAAUGAUGCGAAGGCAGGUGCUCCCUUGAAUGUCUCUGGAAAC